rnacentral:rRNA from 1 species
GUGAGUGAUGAAGGCCUUAGGGUCGUAAAGCUCUUUCGCCAGGGAUGAUAAUGACAGUACCUGGUAAAGAAGCCCCGGCUAACUUCGUGCCAGCAGCCGCGGUAAUACGAAGGGGGCUAGCGUUGUUCGGAAUUACUGGGCGUAAAGCGCACGCAGGCGGUUUGUUAAGCUAGAUGUGAAAGCCCCGGGCUUAACCUGGGAGAGUCAUUUAGAACUGUAUGACUAGAGUUUUGGAGAGGGGAGUGGAAUUCCAGGUGUAGCGGUGAAAUGCGUAGA